rnacentral:piRNA from 1 species
UGCAUCUAACCCUGCAUCGCUGCCUCCCAC